rnacentral:rRNA from 1 species
AUGAACGCUGGCGGCGUGCAUAACACAUUCAAGUCGAACGAAGCAUUUAAGAUGGAGACUUCGGUCAAAGUCUAAUUGACUUAGUGGCGGACGGGUGAGUAACGCGUGAGAAACCUGCCUCUCAGUGGGGGACAACAGUUGGAAACGACUGCUAAUACCGCAUAACAUAUUCGGACCGCAUGAUCUGAAUAUCAAAGCUUUAUGUGCUGAAAGAUGGCCUCGCGUCUGAUUAGCUAGUUGGUGGGGUAACGGCCCACCAAGGCGACGAUCAGUAGCCGGUCUGAGAGGAUGAACGGCCACAUUGGGACUGAGAUACGGCCCAGACUCCUACGGGAGGCAGCAGUGGGGAAUAUUGCACAAUGGGCGAAAGCCUGAUGCAGCAACGCCGCGUGAGGGAAGACGGUUUUCGGAUUGUAAACCUCUGUCUUCGGUGACGAAUAAUGACGGUAGCCGAGGAGGAAGCCACGGCUAACUACGUG